rnacentral:sRNA from 1 species
AUUUUCCUUCCUCUUCCAAGUGCUGGCUGUUUGUCUGCCUGUACCCAGUAGGAUGGGGUUCUGCUGGGAGCUGUCGGUGCCUAUGACUGGAACGGAGCUGUGCUAAAGGAGACGAGUGCCGGGAAGGUCAUUCCUCUCCGUGAGUCCUACCUGAAAGAGUUCCCCGAGGAGCUCAAGAACCAUGGUGCAUACCUGGGCAGGGGCGGGUGUACGUGGCCGGAGCCCCCCGGUUCAACCACACGGGCAAGGUCAUCCUGUUCACCAUGCACAACAACCGGAGCCUCACCAUCCACCAGGCUCUGCGGGGCCAGCAGAUAGGCUCUUACUUUGGGAGUGAAAUCACCUCGGUGGACAUCGACGGCGACGGCGUGACUGAUGUCCUGCUGGUGGGCGCACCCAUGUACUUCAACGAGGGCCGUGAGCGAGGCAAGGUGUACGUCUAUGAGCUGAGACAGAACCGGUUUGUUUAUGACGGAACGCUAAAGGAUUCACACAGUUACCAGAAUGCCCGAUUUGGGUCCUCCAUUGCCUCAGUUCGAGACCUCAACCAGGAUUCCUACAAUGACG